UACAGAGGUCUCGAGCGUUAGGUCGGAAUCACUGGGCUUAAAGCGUGUGUAGGCGGAUCGUUAAGUGCCUUGUGAAAUCCCACGGCUCAACCGUGGAACUGCUUGGCAUACUGGCGGUCUUUGAGCAACCUAGGGGCGAGCGGAACAAAUUGGUGGAGCGGUGAAAUGCGUAGAUAUCAGGAGGAACACCAACGGCGAAAGGCAGCUCGCUGGGACGGUACUGACGC
rnacentral:rRNA from 1 species